CCUACGGGUGGCAGCAGUGGGGAAUAUUGCGCAAUGGGCGGAAGCCUGACGCAGCGACGCCGCGUGGGUGACGAAGGCCUUCGGGUCGUAAAACCCUGUUGCAGGGGACGAAGGAAGUGACGGUACCCUGUGAGGAAGCCCCGGCUAACUACGUGCCAGCAGCCGCGGUAAAACGUAGGGGGCGAGCGUUGUCCGGAAUUACUGGGCGUAAAGAGCUCGUAGGCGGUAGCUCAAGUCAGCUGUGAAAACCGACGGCUUAACCGGAGGAUUGCAGUUGAUACUGGGUUACUUGAGGCAAGGAGAGGAAGGUGGAAUUCCCAGUGUAGCGGUGAAAUGCGUAGAUAUUGGGAGGAACACCAGUGGCGAAGGCGACUACCUGGACGAUAACUGACGCUGAGGCACGAAAGCUAGGGGAGCAAACAGGAUUAGAUACCCUAGUAGUC
rnacentral:rRNA from 1 species